UCACCAUCGAGACCGGCAGAGGGACAGGCCCUUUGAAGCCGGGGCAACCAGACGACGCGCAAGCGGCGUGGACGGUGCCAAAUCCUGCGGGGACCUCAGCGUCUGCCCGAAAGAUGGUUC
rnacentral:ncRNA from 2 species